UACGAAGGGGGCUAGCGUUGUUCGGAUUUACUGGGCGUAAAGCGCAUGUAGGCGGACCAUUAAGUUGGGGGUGAAAUCCCGAAGCUCAACCUCGGAAUUGCCUCCCAAACUGGCGGGCUGGAGCAGAAGAGAGGCGAGGGGAAUUCCGAGUGUAGAGGUGAAAUCCGUAGAUAUUCGGAGGAACACCAGUGGCGAAGGCGACUCGCUGGCUUCUUGCUGACGCUGAGAAGCGAAAGCGGGGGGAGCAAACAGG
rnacentral:rRNA from 1 species